rnacentral:rRNA from 1 species
CCUACGGGAGGCAGCAGUGAGGAAUAUUGGUCAAUGGACGAGAGUCUAAACCAGCCAAGUAGCGUGAAGGAUGACUGCCCUAUGGGUUGUAAACUUCUUUUAUAAAGGAAUAAAACGAGGCACGUGUGCCUUUUUGCAUGUACUUUAUGAAUAAGGAUCGGCUAACUCCGUGCCAGCAGCCGCGGUAAUACGGAGGAUCCGAGCGUUAUCCGGAUUUAGUGGGUUUAAAGGGAGCGUAGAUGGGUUGUUAAGUCAGUUGUGAAAGUUUGCGGCUCAACCGUAAAAUCGCAAUUGAUACUGGCAGUCUUGAGUACAGUUGAGGUAGGCGGAAUUCGUGGUGUAGCGGUGAAAUGCUUAGAUAUCACGAAGAACCCCGAUUGCGAAGGCAGCUUACUAAACUGUGACUGACAUUGAUGCUCGAAAGUGUGGGUAUCAAACAGGAUUAGAUACCCGUGUAGUC